rnacentral:rRNA from 1 species
UACGUAGGGUGCAAGCGUUGUCCGGAAUUAUUGGGCGUAAAGAGCUCGUAGGCGGUUUGUCGCGUCUGCUGUGAAAACUGGAGGCUCAACCUCCAGCCUGCAGUGGGUACGGGCAGACUAGAGUGCAGUAGGGGAGACUGGAAUUCCUGGUGUAGCGGUGGAAUGCGCAGAUAUCGGGAGGAACGACCGGUGGCGAAGGCGGUUCUCUGGGCAUUACCUGACGCUGAGGAGCGAAAGCAUGGGGAGCGAACAGG